rnacentral:rRNA from 1 species
CGGCACGGGUGAGUAACACGUAUCCAACCUGCCGUCUACUCUUGGACAGCCUUCUGAAAGGAAGAUUAACACAAGAUGGCAUCAUGAGUUCACAUGUUCACAUGAUUAAAGGUAUUCCGGUAGACGAUGGGGAUGCGUUCCAUUAGAUAGUAGGCGGGGUAACGGCCCACCUAGUCUUCGAUGGAUAGGGGUUCUGAGAGGAAGGUCCCCCACAUUGGAACUGAGACACGGUCCAA